CAGUAGCCGCGGUAAAACGAAGGGGGCUAGCGUUGCUCGGAAUUACUGGGCGUAAAGGGAGCGUAGGCGGACAUUUAAGUCAGGGGUGAAAUCCCAGAGCUCAACUCUGGAACUGCCUUUGAUACUGGGUGUCUUGAGUGUGAUAGAGGUAUGUGGAACUCCGAGUGUAGAGGUGAAAUUCGUAGAUAUUCGGAAGAACACCAGUGGCGAAGGCGACAUACUGGAUCAUUACUGACGCUGAGGCUCGAAAGCGUGGGGAGCAAACAGGAUUAGAUACCCCAGUAGUCCCUGUCUCUUAUAC
rnacentral:rRNA from 1 species